rnacentral:misc_RNA from 1 species
GACGAAGGUGGCGAGCGUUACUCGGAAUUACUAGGCGUAAAGCGUGGGUAGGCGGCUCGGUAAGUCUGUUGUGAAAGCUCCCGGCUCAACCGGGAGAGGUCAAUGGAUACUGCCGGGCUUGAAUGUGGGAGAGGUCACUGGAAUUCCUGGUGUAGCGGUGAAAUGCGUAGAGAUCAGGAGGAACACCGAUGGCGAAAGCAGGUGACUGGACCACUAUUGACGCUGAGCCACGAAAGCUAGGGGAGCAAACAGG